UCUCAAUGCACAGCUUCUGCAGCUGCUCCUCGGGCAAGGGGGCUUGCUCCUUCAGCAAAUCCAAAAGUCUCUGCAAUUCAUCCUUAAGUCUGAUAGUCACAGAUCUUUGAAGUAAAAAGGGACAGUUACACAACACAGGAUGACUGCAGCUCAGCUUAAUGCCUGGACUGGUAUAUUUCCAUGAGGAAAGGAAUGGAAGAAUCUAGGCUUGCUGCUUAAGCAGCUCAGAAAAGGAAGAAGCUGUAAAUGUGAAGCCAUCUCACCCCAGCAAUUGCCUGUGCCAGCAGUGUCUUCCCACAUCCUGG